CGAGCCGGCCGGGUGAACGCGACGCUUUUUCAAACGGCAGUCCAAGUGGCUGCACGUGGGCGUCGAGGAAAGUCCGGACUCCACAGAGCACGGUGGUUGCUAACGGCAACCCAGGGUGACCUGCGGGAUCAGUGCAACAGAAAGUAAACCGCCCGGCCUUUUAAGGUCAGGUAAGGGUGAAACGGUGCGGUAAGAGCGCACCAGCACCGCCAGUGAUGGCGGUGGCUAUGUAAACCCCACCGGGAGCAAGGCAUCACGGCCCGUACCACGUGCGGGCCCGAUCAAGCGCUAGUAGGCUGCUCGCCGAAGCUUGAAGGUAGCUGCUCGAGCCGCCAUGCGCGGCCUAGAUGGAUGUUCACCGUUUAGACAGAAUCCGGCUUAUAAGCCGGCUCGUUCG
rnacentral:RNase_P_RNA from 1 species